AAUUUUGGAAAAUGGGCGAAAGCCUGAUCCAGCAAUGCCGCGUGCAGGAUGAAGGCCUUCGGGUUGUACCCUGCUUUUGUACGGAACGAAAAAGCUCCUUCUAAUACAGGGGGCCCAUGACGGUACCGUAAGAAUAAGCACCGGCUAACUACGUUCCAGCAGCCGCGGUAAUACGUAGGGUGCGAGCGUUAAUCGGAAUUACUGGGCGUAAAGCGUGCGCAGGCGGUUAUGUAAGACAGAUGUGGAAUCCCCGGGCUCAACCUGGGAACUGCAUUUGUGACUGCAUGGCUAGAGUACGGUAGAGGGGGAUGGAAUUCCGCGUGUAGCAGUGAAAUGCGUAGAUAUGCGGAGGAACACCGAUGGCGAAGGCAAUCCCCUGGACCUGUACUGACGCUCAUGCACGAAAGCGUGGGGAGCAAACAGG
rnacentral:rRNA from 1 species